CAGCAGCCGCGGUAAUACGGAGGAUCCAAGCGUUAUCCGGAUUUAUUGGGUUUAAAGGGUGCGUAGGUGGCCUGUUAAGUCAGGGGUGAAAGACGGUAGCUUAACUAUCGCAGUGCCUUUGAUACUGACGGGCUUGAAUACACUAGAGGUAGGCGGAAUGUGACAAGUAGCGGUGAAAUGCAUAGAUAUGUCACAGAACACCAAUUGCGAAGGCAGCUUACUAUGGUGUUAUUGACACUGAGGCACGAAAGCGUGGGGAUCAAACAGGAUUAGAUACCCCCGUAGUCCCUGUCUCUUAUAA
rnacentral:rRNA from 1 species